ACUGAACAUAGAACGAGGAAAACACGAUAUGCUUGAGUCGAUGAGACAUGGCAAAGAUAAAUGACAGAAAUUGUGUUAUACAAAUUACUUGUUUAUUUAGACCUACUACUGUAUCUUUCGUACACGUUCUGAGUUGUGCUUUAAUGUAAUAAUUGUACUUGUAAGUAUCGAUUUUUUACCAAAUGGUACAUCCAAGCUGGGAGACAAAGUAUUCUAUUGUAAUAGAUGUGUUCUAGAUUCUAGAAUGGUGCAUCACUCAUCUCUGUUGACAAUCAAGUGUAAACAAAUUGCAGUCAAAGCCAAAGUACUGACUUUUUGCCAUAUUUCAACAAAACAUCGUAUUUAAAAGCUUUCUUCAGAAUGUCCAAGCUUCCACCUCACCUUCCUCCAUUCCAUCCCUGGAAGCCCCAGUCCACCUUGGAUGCUGUAGUAUCAGCAAUGUGGUGCAGUCUCUGCCCUGGUCAAAGGAUGCUACCAAACCAUGAUCUGGGACCAAUCUUCACCAAGCUGUCACAGGACCUGGAGUCUGCAACCAUGCCCCUCUACACCAACUACUUUGACCCAGUCACUGACCACCUGCCCAACAGUUUCCCAUUGGGACACAAGCUGAACUUCAACCUGAGGCUGAACUGCUUUGACUCAUGGGCAGACCCAGAGAGCGAGAGGGAAAGAGGGAGGGAGAGAAGCCACCAUGUCCCCUCUUACGGAGGACCCCGCAUCAGUGGUGCCUGCCUGUCUAGACUGACUAGGAACGGAACGCCAAGCGAGAGUAGAGGAUCUAUGACCAACAGUCAGUUUAUCUAUCAAAUGUAUGGCUACCACUGCAGGUGACCCUGGGCAUGUUAGAAUGUGUGUCUUGUCACAUCAUUAGACUUUAAACCAAUAUAUUUCUGUCCGUGUGAAAAAUAAAGACAGACUAUGCAUA